rnacentral:tRNA from 1 species
GCGAACGUUGGCGAACAGUGUCGAGGCCCUUGCCAAGGUUGGGGUCGAGGGUUCGAAUCCCUUCGCCCGCUCCA